rnacentral:rRNA from 1 species
ACUCAAAGGAAUUGACGGGGGCCCGCACAAGCGGUGGAGCAUGUGGUUUAAUUCGUCACUAACCGAAGAACCUUACCCAGGCUUGACAUCGCGUGAAAGCCCUGGAAACAGGGUCCUCCCUUCGGGGACACAAAGACAGGUGUUGCAUGGCUGUCGUCAGCUCGUGUCGUGAGAUGUUGGGUUAAGUCCCGCAACGAGCGCAACCCUCACCGGAUGUUGCCAGCGUCAAGUCGGGCACUCUUCCGGAACUGCCCGUGCAAGCGGGAGGAAGGUGGGGAUGACGUCAAGUCGGCAUGGCCCUUACGCCUGGGGCUACACACAUGCUACAAUGGACAUGAACAAAGGGACCCGAUGCCGCGAGGCGGAGGCAAUCUCACAAAUGUGUCCUCAGUUCGGAUAGCAGGCUGCAACUCGCCUGCUUGAAGCCGGAAUCGCUAGUAACCGCCGGUCAGCUAAACGGCGGUGAAUACGUUCCCGGGCCUUGCACACACCGCCCGU